UGAACGGGUGGGUAGCCGUCAUGGUCCC
rnacentral:piRNA from 1 species